UGGAUUAUUGGAUGCGACAAUAAUCGAUUUGUUGAUUCAAAUUCGCGGGCUCAAUUUCAAAAUGGCGUUCAAGCAGAGGGUGUCAGACUUCAAAUCUGCUCUCUCUGCGCAACAGAUUGACCUCAAAAAUCUUAGAAGACUCUGCUUUAGUGGCAUACCUGAUGGAUCUGGAAUUCGGUCAUUAUGUUGGAAGGUAGGAAGAAACAACAUGUACUCCAGAGUGUAGUUCAGGAAAGUGUCCAUAUAUACCCACCCCAUAUCCAUGGAAGGUCAUUUGGAAAUUCUGAGGGAAUGAGGUCUCAAGUGACAAAAUAUUUAAAGGAAUUUGUGAGGCUAAGCUUGAAAUUCCAGAGGUU